rnacentral:rRNA from 1 species
GAUAACCUCCUGGAAACACUGGGUAUAAUACCCGAUAGGUCUCGAUUGCUGGAAUGCAUCGAGAUUUAAAGCUCCGGCGCCUAAGGAUGGGUCUGCGGCCUAUCAGGUAGUAGUGGGUGUAGCGUACCUACUAGCCUACGACGGGUACGGGUUGUGAGAGCAAGAGCCCGGAGAUGGAUUCUGAGACACGAAUCCAGGCCCUACGGGGUGCAGCAGGCGCGAAAACUUUACAAUGCUGGCAACAGCGAUAAGGGAACCUCGAGUGCCAGGUUACAAAUCUGGCUGUCGAGAUGCCUAAAAAGCAUUUCAUAGCAAGGGCCGGGCAAGACCGGUGCCAGCCGCCGCGGUAACACCGGCGGCUCGAGUGGUAACCGUUAUUAUUGGGUCUAAAGGGUCUGUAGCCGGCCGGAUAAGUCUCUUGAGAAAUCUGGCAGCUUAACUGUCAGGCUUUCAGGAGAUACUGUCUGGCUCGAGGCCGGGAGAGGUGAGAGGUACUUCAGGGGUAGGGGUGAAAUCUUGUAAUCCUUGAAGGACCACCAGUGGCGAAGGCGUCUCACCAGAACGGACCUGACGGCAAGGGACGAAAGCUAUGGGCACGAACCGGAUUAUAUACCAGCGUAGUCCUCCCCGUAGACAAUACUCGCUAUGUGUCGGCCACCGUGCGACCGUUGUCGGUGCCGUACGGAAGCAGUGAAGCGAGCCACCUGGGAAGUACGGGCCGCCAGGGCUGAAACUAACUGGAAUUGUCUGGGGGAGCACCACAACCCGCGAGCUAGCUGUUUAAUUGGAAUUCAACACCGGCAUCCUUACUCGGGACCGGACAGCAAUAUGAUGGCGAGGGCGGAAGGACUAUGCUCGAUUAGCUUGAAAGAGGAGUG